CCUACGGGAGGCAGCAGUGGGGAAUUUUGGACAAUGGGCGAAAGCCUGAUCCAGCAAUGCCGCGUGAGUGAAGAAGGCCUUCGGGUUGUAAAGCUCUUUUGUCAGGGAAGAAACGGCCUGUUCUAAUACAGUGGGCUAAUGACGGUACCUGAAGAAUAAGCACCGGCUAACUACGUGCCAGCAGCCGCGGUAAUACGUAGGGUGCAAGCGUUAAUCGGAAUUACUGGGCGUAAAGCGUGCGCAGGCGGUUUUGUAAGUCUGUCGUGAAAUCCCCGGGCUCAACCUGGGAAUGGCGAUGGAGACUGCAAGGCUAGAGUUUGGCAGAGGGGGGUAGAAUUCCACGUGUAGCAGUGAAAUGCGUAGAUAUGUGGAGGAACACCGAUGGCGAAGGCAGCCCCCUGGGUCAAGACUGACGCUCAUGCACGAAAGCGUGGGGAGCAAACAGGAUUAGAUACCCUGGUAGUCCACGCCCUAAACGAUGUCUACUAGUUGUCGGGUCUUAAUUGACUUGGUAACGCAGCUAACGCGUGAAGUAGACCGCCUGGGGAGUACGGUGCAAGAUUAAAACUUCAAAAGAUUAGUAGGCGNGNGAGAGCGACGACGACGACAGGAGGAGGAG
rnacentral:rRNA from 1 species